rnacentral:rRNA from 1 species
ACGCUCGACACCUACGGGAGCAGCAGUGGGGAAUAUUGCACAAUGGGGGAAACCCUGAUGCAGCGACGCCGCGUGAGCGAAGAAGUAUUUCGGUAUGUAAAGCUCUAUCAGCAGGGAAGAUAAUGACGGUACCUGACUAAGAAGCUCCGGCUAAAUACGUGCUAGCAGCCGCGGUAAUCUGAGCGGGCUGGCAAGGC